AUUGAACGCUGGCGGCAUGCCUUACACAUGCAAGUCGAACGGCAGCACGGGAGCAAUCCUGGUGGCGAGUGGCGAACGGGUGAGUAAUAUAUCGGAACGUGCCCAGUCGUGGGGGAUAACGUAGCGAAAGCUACGCUAAUACCGCAUACGAUCUAUGAAUGAAAGCGGGGGAUCGCAAGACCUCGCGCGAUUGGAGCGGCCGAUAUCAGAUUAGGUAGUUGGUGGGGUAAAGGCUCACCAAGCCGACGAUCUGUAGCUGGUCUGAGAGGACGACCAGCCACACUGGGACUGAGACGCGGCCCAGACUCCUACGGGAGGCAGCAGUGGGGAAUUUUGGACAAUGGGCGCAAGCCUGAUCCAGCAAUGCCGCGUGCAGGAUGAAGGCCUUCGGGUUGUAAACUGCUUUUGUACGGAGCGAAAAGGCUUCCACUAAUACUGGGGGCUCAUGACGGUACCGUAAGAAUAAGCACCGGCUAACUACGUGCCAGCCGCCGCCGUAACAC
rnacentral:rRNA from 1 species